UACAUGGUGGAAAAAGACAGCAAGUGGAAAUGUAUGUUUUUGUUUUUUUUUUAAGUACGAUUUUAAGUUCGAAAGUGGGCCCGCUGCAGCAAGGACAAAGCCUCUGUACAUGGGUGCUGCUUUACCAACUGAGCUAAACAGCACCCCUAGGAAGUGGAAAUUUGAUGUGACACACUGGGAGAGAACCUACAAAAUCUUUCAUUGCAAAUCACAACAGAGUAAUUUUGCCCACCACACUGUUUCAAAGCAUCUGCUGUUUCGCCCAUUACACCCCCGCCAUCUCAUCUUCUUCUGCCCUUGCCAGUUACACAAAUAUUUUCAUACUCAAGAGCGAUCAUUUUCUCUAAAGAGCAGGGGAAGAAAUCAGAGUUUGACAAAGGCCAGAGUUCCACGUGUGAUUGAGUGCCGGUAAGGCGAGACUUCCACUCGGAGGCCUCUGCAGUCUCCAGCGGCUGAACUUGCUCUGACUUUCUGCAAAACUUGAUUCUCUGAUUGCUUCAGAAAUACUUUGGUCUCUCAACGUCUUCACAAACACCACCUGUGCCGUGUAGGUGGCAAGAGGCGGGAGAAUGAAUUGUUGCAUUUAUUAUUUUCCUAUUUUUCAACUCAGGGAGACGAUAAUUGGGACGUCUGAUGACUCAGAUUUACAUACUGUUGCUGCAGGACGCAGCGUGACGUCUCUCCUAGUCAGUGUACCUUUUCACUACGUCUUCUCCCACAUCUUCUUCAUCUCAGGCUAUUUUUAACCUCACUCUGUCUGUCUCCUGCCUCUCUAUUUUUGUUUCAUUAUUUUCAGUGAAAAAGCACCGAGUGUCAGAGUAAUAAAAGUGUUUGCGAUUUUA